rfam:Cavia porcellus supercont2_40 genomic scaffold, whole genome shotgun sequence.
ACCCCCUGAAAAUAGGGAAACAGACACCUCAUUGGUGGUGUUGUUCUUAUAUCAGUCAGGGAAGAGCAGAUGACAGUCCUUUGUUCAUCCUAGCUUGAUGCCUGGGUUGAUGGCUAAAGCUGUUUCAUGCCUAAGGCUUGCGC